GACGAACGCUGGCGGCGUGCUUAACACAUGCAAGUCGAACGGAAAGGCCCUGCUUUUGUGGGGUGCUCGAGUGGCGAACGGGUGAGUAACACGCGAGUAACCUGCCCUUGUCUUUGGGAUAACUUCAGGAAACUGGGGCUAAUAUCGGAUAGGAGCUCCUGCUGCAUGGUGGGGGUUGGAAAGUUUCGGCGGUUGGGGAUGGACUCGCGGCUUAUCAGCUUGUUGGUGGGGUAGUGGCUUACCAAGGCUUUGACGGGUAGCCGGCCUGAGAGGGUGACCGGCCACAUUGGGACUGAGAUACGGCCCAGACUCCUACGGGAGGCAGCAGUGGGGAAUAUUGCACAAUGGGCGGAAGCCUGAUGCAGCAACGCCGCGUGCGGGAUGACGGCCUUCGGGUUGUAAACCGCUUUCGCCUGUGACGAAGCGUGAGUGACGGUAAUGGGUAAAGAAGCACCGGCUAACUACGUG
rnacentral:rRNA from 1 species